AACGAACGCUGGCGGCAGGCUUAACACAUGCAAGUCGAGCGCCCCGCAAGGGGAGCGGCAGACGGGUGAGUAACGCGUGGGAAUCUACCCAUCUCUACGGAAUAACGCAUGGAAACGUGUGCUAAUACCGUAUACGUCCUUCGGGAGAAAGAUUUAUCGGAGAUGGAUGAGCCCGCGUUGGAUUAGCUAGUUGGUGGGGUAAAGGCCUACCAAGGCGACGAGCCAUAGCUGGUCUGAGAGGAUGAUCAGCCACUCUGGGACUGAGACACGGCCCAGACUCCUACGGGAGGCAGCAGUGGGGAAUAUUGGACAAUGGGCGCAAGCCUGAUCCAGCCAUGCCGCGUGAGUGAUGAAGGCCCUAGGGUUGUAAAGCUCUUUCACCGGUGAAGAUAAUGACGGUAACCGGAGAAGAAGCCCCGGCUAACUUCGUGCCAGCCGCCGCGGUAAGAC
rnacentral:rRNA from 1 species